rnacentral:misc_RNA from 1 species
UUAGUUUAUGUCUACAUACAUAACUAACUAUUAUAAAGUGUGUGUGAAUAAUAAUCGCGCAAGUUCACGGACAUUCACAAAUUGCAGUCAAAUAUUGCUAAUGUAACUAACGAUAGAAUUAUUACUUUACUAAACUUAAAAUUUCUGUUUUUUGUUGUUUUUUUAAGAUUGAGAUAGAACACCGACGUUAGAUUAAGAAAUUUUGGGACUGAGCUCAAACUUAGAUUCAAAAUCAAA